AUUGAACGCUGGCGGCAGGCUUUACACAUGCAAGUCGAACGAGUGGCGGACGGGUGAGUAAUGUAUCGGAAUCUGGCCUAUGGAGGGGGAUAACUACGGGAAAGUGUGGCUAAUACCGCAUACUAUAGGAUCGGCCGAAGUGGGAUUAGGUAGUUGGUGGGGUAAAGGCCCACCAAGGCAGCGAUCCCUAGCUGGUCUGAGAGGAUGACCAGCCACACUGGAACUGAGACACGGUCCAGACUCCUACGGGAGGCAGCAGUGGGGAAUAUUGCACAAUGGGGGAAACCUGACCCAGCCAUCCCGCGUGAAUGAAGAAGGCCUUCGGGUUGUAAAGUUCUUUCGGCAUUGAGGCGGUAUCUACAGAAUAAGCACCGGCUAACUCCGUGCCAGCAGCCGCGGUAAUAC
rnacentral:rRNA from 1 species